AUGGUCGACGAUGUUUCGUGUCAGUAUAGUUUAGUACUAUUCAAGCGAAAAUGCCGUGAGUUGAAACUAUCCGCAUUGAGCUAUCGAGUACACCCGUAGGUAGCGAUUUGCAUAUGCCGUGUCAAAAGUUGAGGUUUAAAGAGAGGAAGAGAAGAAUAAAAAAGGUGGUACUACAGGCUGCGCUUUGUGUGUCGUGAAACGGGUUGGGUUCUAAGAAUAUCGACCAAUGGUGAGCGUUUGUGUGCGCUGAAUUGCAUAAAAACUAAAUUCGGAUGCGCAAUGGUUUUGCCUUCGUCUCUUGUAUCGCCGCCCGGAUGAAUAAUCAAAGCUUUUGCAGAUGCGUGCUUGUAAAGCCGUCCAUUUAGCAUCCAAGUCCUUAUUUUACAUAACAGCCGACUCCCUUCUCAUUGUCGCUCCGCAUUUUGAUAAAUGGCCUCAUCUUACACGUUUUUUUUUUAUAAUAUGAAAGAGCCCGUCGGCAGACACUGAAAGCGACUCCCAGUUUCAGCUAUUCUUUUCUCUCUCUAAAAAAAAAAAUACAAAACAAAACAAAAAAACUUGUGUAUCUUUGUGUGCGCCGUGUAUAAAGGUGACGAAAGCUCCACCAACGGGUUGCUUCUACCGGCUGAUUUCAAUCAUUGAAGCUCCUCCUACCCCUCCUACUCUACCGUGAAUUAAUCGGAUAGGUGGGGCUCUAGCGGCGCUGCCAACCAGCCUUUCAUUCUUUCACCACUUUGAUACCACUGUCUCGCUCUUUUGUCCUUUUGAAACGACCUAGCACAGCAUUGCGAAGGCUUGCGACAUAAACUUGAUGUAUGCUACUUAAACUUAACGUAACGGUUCGAUCCAAAAAUCGUUAACGGAAUAAUGGGCGUUAAUUUUUUUUAAAACCUCAAGUUCAUGAAAAGGUUCAGAUGUCACUUUUAAUUCCCUUUCUGUUUUGUUGUCGAAAACUUUUCUUUAAUUCCGUGUUUGAAUUUUUUGAAUCGAUGACCAGCUAAAGAGGUUGGGAAAGAUUGAUUAUCUUGUCAACGGUAAGACUUUCAAAUUUUAUCGUUGACUACGUUUUCUUCUACAAGUUUUUUAAUCCAACGAUAUCUGUCUUGAAAUUUGUCUUCUUUUUCUUUAAAAUUUUCUUUUAAACCUUUUAUUUCUUGUUGAUCGGUGUCCUCUCGAAUGGGGAUCGAGGGAUGUCUUUAAGUAUUUAUGUUUGGUUUGGGCAUGUCUCUGGGUGGUUGAACACUGAAAGCAACUGACAUUUUUCUAUGGAGAUUUUUGAAUUCACAAACGAAAGGCUCAGACUGUGUGUGACACCAAACGUUGUCUUUGGUCUGUCCGCCAUUCGGAUCGAAGUCGUUCCUUAUACUUAUCGCUCAAUUCCGAAAGAGGAAGUACAAAACCAAAUUGAAACUAUACCAAAAAUAGAGAGACGAAAACAGUCAUAUCUAACUUUUUCUUUUCUUUUUUUUGUGAACUCGAUGCAACCCACACACAUACACACGUUCUAGUAUUGUUUGUAGCCGUUUUAGCUUCACCAGUUUCAGUUUGGUUUGCUUUCUCGAUGCGCCCGCUCACUGUCACUCUGGUGUCCAAACCCAUAUAGCCCCCCUGCUUUUGUCGAUAAGCCAUCGCCUUAUUCGAAUUUUUAAAGGUCCCUUUCUCGUAGACCUUUUUUUUCACGUGUUAAGUCUCUCUUCUUAGUCCGCCUGCGCCGAGAGAGAGAGAGAGAGAGAGUUGACUGUUUUUUUUCUUUUUACUUUUGUGCUCGUCUCCUCUUUGUCUUUGUCGUCCGAGAGCUGCGUGUGGAGGACGGGGGGUUGGAAGAUGGAAAAGACCAAAAGUCUGGGCAGUUGUGUCAUGGCGGCACCUGAUAAAAACGCGGAAGAACUGAUCGGCAUCGGCACACUGUUGCAGCCGACGCGUGCCCUUUUUUUUUUCUUUUUCCCCACUCGUGUGUGUGGUCCUCCUCUGCGUACAGUUUUUGUUCCAUGUCGCCUUUUUGGUUUUCCUUCUUCUUCAAUAGACUUAACUAUCCUUUACCUCCCUGUUUUUUUGUUACCGUCUUUUUGUUUUUGUUUUUUGUCUUCUAAUCGAGUCUCAUAACCAUGGCGGACAUCUUAACCCCAUCCCAUCUACGCUCUUAUCUGAUCUCUUUUGGCUGCUGUCGUUUUCUUUCUCUUUCUUAAUGGUAGGAAAUUAUCGGCAAAAAAAAAAAAAAGAGAGAGAAAGAAAAAAUCGUUAAUUUUCGUUGAAGAACGCCACCCGCCUCUUUGACCUUUUAUUUGCCUUGCCCGUCCUCGUGAACACACACAUAGGUUUGUGUGCUGUAUCCAUGGCUUGUUUGUUCAUUUUUAUUAACCUUCAUUAAGUGUCGUAGUGGAGGGCGCAUCAGCUUGAACGAAGCAUUUUGUUUCGGCAUCCAGUGCCUAAAACGCUGAAAAAAGAGAAUGAAAACCCAUAAACACCCCAUGUUGGAAAAAAGAAAAAAGCCGGGGAGUUGGGAGGUUUCAUGACUGUGGUGUGGUCGAAAUUGAGAGUACAACAACUAACUACACGGUGUAGUUUUUUCUAUUGUUGAACCGGAGCAGCAAUGGAUAAUGACCGGUGUUAACCUGAUGGCGAGCUAGAUUUUUCAAUGAAUAAUAGCCCAACUUGAUCACUAUUGUCCGUCGUCUUUGGGAAGACGUUAAUAAAUAUCAACCUGCGAAAGAAGGAAAACAAAUGGAUGUCUAGGGCUCGUUUUUUUUUGGUUUUUGUUUGUUGGUUUUUGCUGCCUGACUUGAUUGGUAUCGUUGUAGAUUAUAUGUGAGAGUCGAUGUGAUUAUGUACGGCAACAUCGAAACCGACGAAAUUUGAUUUACAAUUUUUUUCCUGACCAGCUUUUUGCCACGCCCUUUUUUCUUCCAGCUGGAAGCUGAAGACCUCCCUCCGCUUGCCUCUUUUGAAAUAAUACAAAAUCCUGUUAGAUUACA